GAGGACUUUGAGAAAGCUUUAAGCGUGCUCGAAAACCGGCACCCAGGGGAGCAGCGGCCGCCACGGUGCGAGCCCAGAGUGCAGCCUGGAAUUGUGCAGCCCCCGGUGAUGCCGCCACCCAAUCGUAAGGGAUGGGUAACCAAUUUCUUGUUAAAACUGAGAACCGCUGUGAAUUCGUUGUCGCGCAACCCUUCCUCGCUGCACUUUCGCCAACCUGUCGAUGCUGUGAAGCUGAAGAUCAGGGACUACCACGAAAAAAUCGCAAACCCCAUGGACUUGAACACAAUCAAGAAAAGAUUUGAGUACACAUACUACUGGGGCGGUGCAGAUGUCCUGGAAGACAUUCUAUUGAUUUUCGAAAACUGCAGAGUCUACAACAGUCCGGACUCGCCCGUGUUUAAAGCAGCUGUUAACCUGUGCGAGUGCUUUUGGCUGCGUAUGGCGAAAAUGCAGCGGGAAUUGCACAAUGAGUGUAGGGCUGAGGCCAAGACCAGGCGUCCACGGAAGGCAGCCAUUUCAAAAACCUCUCCAUUGCCG
rnacentral:lncRNA from 1 species